rnacentral:lncRNA from 1 species
GCAAAGGAGAGAAUGCGGCGAUGGUUCCGAGGAGAAACUGUAUGAUGUCUUCUUGAGUGAUCCAGCAGAAUCGUCGUCCGUUCGAAUGCGUUGAGGUGGUGAGUGAAACUUUGUCGUUUUCCUGCCUUUUCUUAGUGAAGGGUUUUGUCUGAAUCGGGACAAUCAGAUUCUGUGCUCCUCCGAUUAUCAGGUCUAUGGCUUCAACUAAGCUGAUCAGUCAAAAUCAAAUUGACCCCAGAAAAAAAGAAAACUAUUAAUUUAUGUACUUCAAAAGUGAGAAAAAAACAGAGCAUGGAAACAGAGGAAUAAGAAAGGUUGAAUUUUUAUCUAAACGAAUAUAAAACCUGCAGGAGGGUUGAACAUGGAGAGCGAGGGAACGAGUUUUGGGGAGCAGAACAGAGACGGGUGCGUUUAAGGCAGAGAGAGUGUUGUAGCCAUGGUCUUUAGAC